rnacentral:lncRNA from 1 species
AAAAAUAAAAUAAUAAUUUGGUCACAAAGAGGAGGAAGUGGUGCAUGGGGACUCCCAAUUAAUGGUACUGAAGAUUAUGACGCAAUUUGGUGGAGACUUUUGGGGCAUUUGCAUGAGUAUGGUACAAGGAUAGCUCACUCUUGAGUUUCUUCUAGGCCACUUUUCGUUGUGAAAACAUUUCUAAAGAAAAUAACGUUUUCGGGGCAGUGAUUUCAUACAACGGUUGUACAGUAAUAUAUGGCAAUAAUAUUCAAAAACCAUAUUUGGGCCAUUUGUUUGAUGGAAAUUAUAAAAUAUACACUCUUUCCAUUCUAAUAAACAAUCACAAAACAUAAAAAUUUGAAAAUACAAUUUAGAAAAUAUUUUUUUAGCCCAAUUAACAUAGGCCAUCUAUUUUGAUAAGAUGCUUAGAUCUAGACUUUAGAAGGAUUUUUCUAUUCCAAUUUUUUUAGAUGGCUUUAUUAUUAUUAGAUGAAGAAUGUUAAAAAAUAAAAAAAUAAUUUUGAGUUUGUAAAGGCUAAGAUCUUGAAAUUCACCAAAUGAAUGGUCUACAUUCGUUGUUGUAGGGAACUUAUUUUGACCAUAUCUAGGGUUCAAAUUGAUUUUUUUUUUCUUGGGUUUGAUUAUUGAGAUGAAGAGAGAGUGUGCAAAUGUUUUGGUUAUACAAAUACCUCUAUCAUAGUUUUCUAGAAGUGCGGUUGCAUUAGAUAAGGAUCAAACCAUUGCAUUAGAUCAUACGGGGUGAUACCUAUGGAAUUUUCUUUUGAACUCAUAUACUAUACUUUCAAGGGAGUAUGCUGUGUAUUUACUCCCUCAUCCAGUACAAUUAUAUAGCAAGAUUAUUUUCACAUAAAAUUCUGAUUCUUUUUAGCCAACAUGAAGCAAAUUUAUCUCAGUGAUCUAUUUAGUUAAUUACAUGAGAAAUUAAUGUGGGAACUGGGUUAAAUUUAUCGAUCAUCUUUUGGACUAUAUUUUUUGAAGCUUUUGGGCUAGUUCUUUGUUUUUUUUUUUUAAUUCCUGUUUUAUCUUCAGUGUGAUAUGCUUUAUUUCUAUAUUUUUUAAAUCUUGGCAUUUUGGAGCGGCCCAUGCAUAACAUUUUGGAUUACCUUACAAGCUAAUAUGUUCUUUUGCACAGACACCCUAAUAUUGGAGAUACUAAACCGCAAAGUUGCCUUUUAUUUAGUAAGUUAAAAGAGGUUUGAUAUUUCGAACAUCAAACCAGUAAUACAAUUUAAAGGGGAAGAAAAAAAAAAAAAGAGUCAGGAGUGGUUCGAUGUAUAGAACAUUGGAUUGCCAUACGAGCUAAUCUAAGAUUUUGUUUUGGGUGGCCUAAUGUUAGGGUUUGCACGCCAGCAAAUUUUUUUUUCUUCAAUAAAUUAAACGAGGUCCAUUGUUUUCAAUGUUAGACCAUUAAUUUUAUAUAUAUAUAUAUAUAAAAAGCCAUACAUGGUCAAGUCGAACAUCGGGCUGCCCUUACAAAGGACUACGUUAGAAGUGGGUUGAUCCCGUUUCUUAUCCUUCUGCCCUCGAAAAGCAAAAAAUAAAACAAAUAAAAAAAAUUAGUUCGAUGUUGACAACAUUAGAUUGAGAUCAAAACAUGAAAAACAAUUUAAAAUGAGAAAGACGUUAUCAUAAAAUUUCUCAAAAUAUGGACCUAUAUAACGGUCAAAGGGAAGCAUUAUUUCAUAUAUCUAAAUUCUAGAAAAAUGGAGUACACAAUACCGUGUUUUGACAACAAUAUUUGCUUAAGUCGGACUCAAAAUGGACCGCAUCCUUAUUUCACGACAUCAACGCACCGAGACCCAAAGCGGGAACCGGUGUCAUUUGAUGCGAACUAUAUGACGAGACCGCGCACUUAUAGCUAAAACAGCACCCAAAGCCCAUUGCACAACGACACAGAUCGAUGUUGCCUUUCAGAUAGAGAGAGAGAGAUAGUCAUUGACAAGAGGAAGAAGAGGUUUAAAGGAAAUGAUUUUCGCUGUAUUUUCUGUCACCGACACCUCAGCCUUGUAAACUCUAUUAUACCCGAUUUGGAGGACUUGCACGGCGAUCCUGUAGUUUCUGAUCUUGUUAAGCACUUGCACCUGAGCUUCGACUACAGACAAAAACGACAGAUACUUGUCAUUGGCAUUCCCGACUGCAGACUCGCCCAGAUGUUGAAUUAUGGUUGCAUUGGUAUCUGUUUGGUGGAAGACACCAUACAGUGGUGGGGAGGAGGAUAGAGGGAGAAGAGGCUCAAAUUUUAUGAGCCUUUCGCGCGCCCUAUUUCGCUCUUGCACAAUGGCCUCAUAAACCCUUGAAUAUCCACCCUCAAGAACUAGAAUUGCCAACUUAUAAUUAUUGAACGUGCCCUGUACCUGGAGCUGAGCUUCCACCACAGAAAGGAAAGUGAGAUUUUUUUGAGAUUCAAUAACUGCAAAUAUUCCAAGACUUUGAACGUAACUUUGAUUGGCAUGUAUUACGCAGUAGCCUCCAAAACCCUCUGGUGGGCAUGGGAAAGCCAUGGAAACAGCAAGCAGAAAGACAGAGAAGAGGAUGAAGAAGAUCAGGCAUUGGGUUUCCAUAUUCGCGACGUGGAAUUUAGGUUGAACUGUUGAGUUGCUCUUCUCGGGUUGUGUUUUAUGUAUUUAUAGAUGGAAAUCGUGGUGAGAGAGAGAGUAUGAAGGGACUGGUAUGACGUGUAACACAUGCACUACUAAGAGAGACACAAGAGACCGCCCAAAAAUGGUGGUACCACUUCGAAUUAUUGAUGCAUAUCAAAAAGAUCCAUAUUUCAUCGCACCUUGCAAAAGAUAGAGAGAGUAAAAAUGGUGGUGGUACAGAGAGGGAGAGAUUAAUGGUUAUUGUUGAUUAGGGAACAGAUUCGCGUCAUAUUUCCCUUGGCGUCCAAGUUGUAUUACUGUGUUUUUUGGUGAGGUGGUGCAUGUGUUUCUCAUAUGUAAACAGCCAGAUUUAGGAUGUAGUAAGAGGCAGCAUAGUUGGAAAAAAGGAAACAUUAUGUCUGUAUCCAAAAAUUGGGGAAUGCUCCAAUUUUCCUUGAAAUUUAUGUGGAGUUUUUUUUUUGGUUAUUUUUUCUCUUAUAUUUUUUUUGUUUUUAUAAUUUUUUAUUUUUGGGGUAAGUCAGUGAAAAAGAAAACCCGCUACCCAUUUUCCAAUAAUAAAAUAAAAAGUGAAACUAUUCAGUAUUUUACAACUCUAAAAUGUGUCAGUUGUGCCGAAUCAUCAAAUAAAAGAAUGAAAAUCAAGUAUGGCGGUCUAGCAUCCAAAUAGUAGAGUCAGAGCUAACAGGUACUUUCUUGGCAGGAGGGUACUUUCUUGGCAGGAACAUACCAUGGUUUUCUUGAACUAUGAGGCUGUCUGGAAGCUUAGAGGACAAUUAAAGGUCAAUUUGAUGUUUGAAACAUUAGGCUCCCCUAAAUUUGUACUGUUCAAUAUCCUAAAUAUUGGAUCGACCUACAUAAUAUGCAUUACCAUUCGAGUGAUGAUUGAAACAUUGAACCAGCUUCACCAUAACCCUUUAUGUUCUCUAUUUCUUUCUUUGUUAAGAUCAUUGAUAUUUAUGCCCUAUUUCAUUCUUCCCAACUCAUUGGAAAAAAAAAUAAAGGACCAUGUGCCAAUCUGACACCUGAAACAUCAUACUGGUAACUUUAAAAAUAAACUGAGAACACAAAUUGACCCAUUGCAUUGGGACAACCCUACAAUAUAAGAAGAAAAAAAAAAAAACAGGUACAAUAAAUUUAACAUAGGGGAAAAUAUCAUACCAUUACAUAAUAUUGGAUAUAUUUUUUCUUUAAUACUUCCUUAAAAAAAGAAAAUAUUACCAUUUCAAAAAGAAAUUAAUAAUGUGGUCCCACGCAAAGAGGAUGACAGCACAGCGUGUUGCAUGGGGACACCCAAUUAAUGGAAGAUGUUACGAAAAGUUUGAAAAGACAAUGUACAAGGAUGGAUGACCCUUGAGUUUCUCUUGGGGCACUUUGCACUUUAAAAAAAUUUCUAACCAAAUUUACGAAUGGGGUGAUAUCUAUGGAAUUUAUUUUUGACGCAUAUACUAUAUUUUGGUGGGAGCAUAAUGUGUAUUUACUCCCUCAUCCAAUACACCUCUUUAGGAAGAUUUUUUUGGCCUAAAAUUUUGGGAAUCAUAUAGAAUUACUAGAUAAUUAUUUUUAAAAGAAAAAAGUUCACCUAUUAAAGAAGAUUUUUUUUCCCUAAAAUUUUGGGAAUCAUAUAUAAUUACUAGAAUUUUUUUUUUUAAAGAAAAAAAUUUAAUCUCUGUGUUUCGUGACACUUCGACCUAACCCUUCAAAAAUUGGACGGUUUGUAUUCAAUCUUGAGGCAUAAGUUUUUUCUAAAAAACAGAGAGUUUUUUUAGGAUAAGGUUUUUUCCUGAAGUUAUUCUAUGGUUUGUGGAGUUUAUAUCCCCAAAAUUUAAGAUCCUAAAAGUAUCCCAAUAAUGUAUCUUGUCGAAAGGAGUAAUGGAUACUAUACUCCUUACGUGAGUAAAAAAUCAUUUAAUUUUUCUUCUCAUCUAUCUUUUUUAAAAUUUUAUGUGAAGUCAUUUUUUUUCGUAUUUUCAUUUUUUUUGAAAUUUUUCCCGGGUUAGAUGUUGUAAAUAUCAAAUUAAUCUUCAUUGAUGUUUAUUUUUUAUUUGUACGUGGUUUCAUGUUCUCUUAUCGGAACGACACAUUUCUGAAACUGUCCAAUAUAGGAAAUAUCGGACUGCCUUAACCUUCCAUACUGUUCGACAGACCUCUGAACAUCAUCCACUUUUAAUUUUGUCAUAGCUAUAAUUUUGAGAGCAUGCAUACACGCAUUUAUUGCGGCGAAGUCCUAUAAGAACUUAAAAAUCUACUCAUAUCAUGAAGCCUUAUCCGCUUAAAAAUCUACUCACGUGGUUGGGGCGAAAUCCCAUAAGAAGUUAAAAAUCCACUGAUAUUAUCAAGCCUUAUCGGCUUAAAAAUCUAUUCACGUGGUACCCUAUAUUCUCCUUUUCUUGUUUUUUUUUUUUCUCCACCUUUUCCUUGCACACCUUUUCCUAGCACUACGUUCUGUACCAAAAAUUGGGUGUCGUCCCUUUAUCCCACCACCUUUUCCUAGCACUACGUUCUGUACCAAAAAUUGGGUGUCGUCCCUUUAUCCCACCAUGUGCCUUCCUCUUCAUUGUCUUGGGGACCAAAUUAAUAAGAAAAAAAUCGAGGGAUAUCCCUUGUUAAAGGUCAUCACUGUUAAAGAAGUGGAUCGAUAGUAACAGAGAGGGUAAUAGGCCCAUAACAAUAUGACGAUUAAGCGGGUUGUUCACUCUGUUAAUCUCAUGUGUGAGGUGUAUGUGGGGCCUAGAAAGAAGUAUUUAAAAGAGAAUAUAUUAGUAGAUCCAUUUGGUCUAGCAUAACCAAACAUUACCAUUCAAAUCUCUCUCGACGCCAACCCCCACCAAAUACCAACUAUCCCUGAGUUACCAAUGGAGCUAUCAUCAAAAUUUAGUUAGUAGCAACUCUGUAUUGGAAGUUGCGAAUUGACCCUCAGCUAGCUUUCACCAUCCUUAUUUUCAUCAAAUUAGGGAGGUUCAAGAAUACAUCAAUCCCCAUCCUUAUUUAAUAAUUGAUAGAUAAAAGAACAUGAACAUUAUUCAUAUUGACAACUGGUACAAAAGUUUUUUUUAUAGUCGACAAACCUGGUAUUAUAGCUCUCAACUGCUAUUAUAUUAGAUUUUAUAAACUUAUCUACAUCCAAUUACUUUAUUUCCUUUACGUAGCUUGACAAUGUCCUAAGUAUGGCUCUUGUCAAGUGCUUGAAGUUCCUCUUUCAUGUCCUUCCUCCAUACAGAUUGAGAAUAACAUUUUGAAACUUGGUUAGAUCUGAAUGAUUAGAAAUAGGACUCAAAAAAGAAAUAUAUUUAGGAGAUAUAUUUUCAUAAGGAAUAUGAUUUUGAACAGAAUAAGAAAUUGCAUGGUAGGUAUAAAAAUAUUGAAGUUUAGCUGAAAGUUGAGAGAUACAAGAAGACUUACGCAAGGGGGGUGCAAGAGGGGCCAAGGCCACGACGGAGUCUUCUUCUUCUAAACCAGUUUUGUGAGUUUCAGAAGUAUCUUCAGUUUCGGCUUAAUCAUCAUAACUUGUUCCAAGUGUGCCGGACAGAUCACUAGUAUUAAUAUUAGGCAAUGGCAAACAACCUCUUACACAUUCUCCCUAAGUCCUAUUUUCCAAACCACUCUCCAAUGUGUCAUGGAAAUAGGACUUUAUUUCAACAAAUUGAACAUAUCUGGAAAUAUGCACUUUUCUAAUUGUGGGAUCAUAACAUUUAUAUCCCUUUUGAGUAGUGGAGUAUCCAUGAAAGAUACAUCUACUGAAACGUUUAUCAAGUUUAUCCCGGUUAUGCCCAGCCACAUGAACAUAAGACACACAUCCAAAUACUCGCAAAUGGGAAAAAUCAAUUUUUCUAUUUUUCAAAAUUUGAAACGGAGAUUUAUCCUUAACAAAUUUACUUAGAAGUCUAUUAAUCAGAUAGCACACAGUUAAAACAUCUUCAGACCAAUAUAUGUUUGGAACAUGCAUCUAAAACAUCAAAAACCUUGUAGCUUCCAAAACUUAUCUAUUUUUCCUUUCAGCAACUCCAUUAUGCUGAGGUGUUCUAACACAUGAUGUUCGGUGUACUAUACCAAGAUUCAAUAAAUUCUAAGAAAAGCUUUGUUCACAUACUCUGUGUCAUUAUCAGUAUGCAGAAUUCUAAUCUUGUCAUUAUAUUGAGUGGAAAUCAGUUUGAAAUUUUUUUUGAAGACAUAGAAAACUUAUGUUUUUUAUUUCAAUAAAUAUACCCAAGUGGCAUGAGACCAAUUAUCAAUAAAAUUAAUAACACAUUAAAGUCAACAUAAGAAUCAACUGGGGUGGGUCCCCACAUAUUAGAAUGUAUCAAAUAAAAUGGUUCCUUUUAAACAUGCAUAGAAGACUGAAAAGGAAGUCUUGUAUGUUUUGAGAAUUUGCACACUUCACAAGAAUGUGAGUUUAAAGAUAAAGAGGGCAUUAAAAAAUUCAAAACUUUAUCUAAAGGGUGUCCAAAUCUCUAAUGCCAUAUUUUAUUAAUAUCAGAAUUAUCUUGAUUGGCAACAAAUAUCUUAUUAAAUAAAUAUAGUCCAUGAGUUAAUCUUCUUUUACAAAUUUUUCCUCCCUAUGGCUUGGUCCCGAAAAGUUACAAAGUUGGGGGAAAAAAUAACAUUACAAUUCUUGCUUUGAGUAAUUCUACUAAUAGACAUCAAGUUAGAGAAAAAUGAUGGCAUAAACAUAACUCCAGAGUUAUGAGAUUUGGAGAAAAAAUUGAUCUUACCAACACCAUGAAUCGAAAAACCAUUAGCAAUAAACAUAGGGUUAUGUUUAUUAUUUUUUAGGUUGGAUAGAUAUUGUAAGAUGCCGGUCAUAUGAUCGCCCUUGAGUCUAUUAUCCAAGAAAAAAUGUCACAAGAAGAUGUGGAAGCAUUAGGGUUACCUGUGUCCGAGAAUGAAGAAGAAAGAUCUUGUGUAGAGGAAGAACUAGUGUUGUUACUUGGUUAUUGAUAAUGAUCACAGUUGCAGUGAUAGUUUUGAGUAGUCGCGGUCUGAGCGGAAGAUCUAUGGGCUAUAUUGUUAUUAAUGGGCUUAAGUGUGGGUAUAAUACCCAACACAUAUCCUUCACAUGUCUUAUAUUGUCGCAGUGAUCACAUCUACUAGGAUACUCUCUAUUACUACGACCCCUUCCACCAUUGCAAUAAUUGUUAGGGUCUCCAUGUGCACCACUAUUUUGAGGCUGUUUUGUUUCAUAUUUCUCAUUAUUACCAACCAAAGAAGAUUUCUCAAUACUUUCUUUAGUGGUUUUGAAAUCAAGAUUCUUGAUUUUCUUCGUAGUUAUGUAUCAAAGUUUAGAUUUUUCAAAGAGAGAACAAGAAACGGCUUUCAACCUAGCAAGAUAAUUAAGUCCGUUCAAAGGAACAAUAUUAAGUUUCACACUAGAGUUAUUUUCUGAAUCUUCCAUUAUCAAGAGACAAUAAGAACAUAAGACAGACCUGAUUGAUAACAAGAGCGAUUAAAGAAUAGAAGAUCUUCAAUUGGAAUCAGCCGAAGCCCUAGUGAGCACAAUUGUUUAUCUCUGGAAAUCGCCAAAUUUGGUUUGCUUUGGGAUGAAAUUUGGUUUGUAAACAACAUGAGGAUGGCCGGGCUCUUGCGAUACAAUCGGCAAAAUGAAAGCAAAAAAAAAAAAAAUCAAGGCAAGGAGAAAAAUCUUUCAAUAGUCAAUGCAACAUGUAAACCGUGUGCACUCUUGUUGCAAACAAUUUUGAAUGGAUGGAACGCCCUGGUGCACAAGAGUGUAGAGUUGCAAAUAGUUUUUGCAAGUGAAGAUUGAGAGGGGAAACAAGGCGUCAAAUUAAGCAUAGGAAACAAGGGAAGGUAUCAUUUUGCACGGAAGAAUUGUUGGGUUUAUGUGGCCUUUAAAGGCCACAUGAGUACCUGUAAAAUGACAUGAUAUAAUAGAAUAUGAACUCAGUGGGAGUGUGGUCCCUCAUGGACCUUACUAAGCAAAUGAUGGUUUGCUGAUACCGAUCUGUGCUUAACGAUCUAGGCCACUGGGUUGGAAAAAACCCAUGUUAGAUGGGCAUGAAGACCAAACCAAUGAGGGUUUAUGGGUUUGCCCUUGAUGAGGUCAGAGAACAUGCCCGGAUGAGUAAGCCGAGGGACUGUGUGAUCCUUGUCUGUGAUGGUGGCCUAUAGAGACAUAGGUCCAAACCUCAUUCAUGCACCAUCACACGGCACACAUAUCAAUUGAUCGCUCAAGAAAGCCAUAAAUCUACUUUUUAGGAUGAAGCGUAUGCAUGUGUGUGAGAUACCUCUAUGUGCCAUAGAGAUGUGGUCGCAUAAGGUCUUAGUGACCUUGACUUGUCACUAGAGGAUGACCUGUAAUCCACAGACUAGGAUUGCGACCCAUUGGCUCAUCCGCCAGACUUUGGUGACCAGCUAAUGUGCUCUUGCUUGGACUGUUGGUCUUGAGAAACACUAGGUCGGUUCGAUAAAGUAAGUGUGGUAUGUAGUCCACAGUUGAAGGUGGAGUGCCCCAUGAUUGCAGAUUAAAUUCCUUAACUAUAUGGGUCUAUUUUACAACAAGUUAAUUUAAUUAUGCUUAUUUUAUUAUUGAAAUUAUUUUAGAAUUAUUAUUUGAAUUUUUAUGAGUCAUUUGAUAUUUUAUUUAUAUUUGUUUUUUGGAUUUAUAAAAAUGAAGAUAUGUAUUUUAUAUAAUUAUAGAAUUCAAAUAAUAUUUUAGAAUUUUUUUGAUAAUUUAAAAUUAUAUAAAAUAUCAUGAAGGGGCCCAUAGUGCACAUAGGCCCACCAUGUGUCAAAUGGAUGCCACAUGUGCCACACAUGGGUGGCAUCCCCCACCCAUUGGAUUCUUUCUUGGAGUUUAAGUUAUUUCUUGUUUUGGUAAUAUUAUGUUAUUGCAUGUGAUCAAAUAAGAUAUGAAAUAUUUUGACCAUAUAUUGACCAAAUAUUUAAAGUGUAUAUUGACUUGAUAUAUCUUUAGAAUAUUUUGUGAAAGAUUAUGAAAUGCAUAAUAUUUUAAUUAGAUUUAAUUUAUCUAAAAUUUAUUGAUGGAAAAAUAGUUAAGGAAAGGAGGAUAAUAGUCCAUGCACCUUUCAUAAUGUUUAUGGCUCAUCUAUGGAAUGAAUGACUCUGAUCUCUCACCCCACAAGUCACCCUUGAUCGACAGUCUAUGUUCAAUCUCACCAGAAGAGGCAAGCCAAGAAAGACCCUAAGAAACCCCAAUCUUAUUCAUGCCUAUAAAAAAGGGAGUGUCUCUACCCAAAAUCUCUGCACCUUAUCUUUCUAUCUCUUUAUCUUGAUAAAGUUUCUCUCUCAUGUUUGAUAUCUCUCUCUCCCACAUUUUGAAAGAACCUAAGCGUUUAUGUUAUGGAGUUCUUCUCUCUCAUAUCUCUAAAAUAUGGAUUUAUGACUAAGGGUUUUAGGGUUUAGCAAAAAAAAAAGAAUUCAUCACUCUCAAACUAGGUUGCUAAGAGAAUUCACCUAGAGUUUGAGUUUGUGAUCAAAGGGGUUCAUGUUCCAUAGGUGUGGCUUGGCCGAAAUUUGCUUUCUCGGUUCGAGAUUGAAGUUCAACCGUUGAUCCCACGCCAUCGGGUGGUGGUGACUCGGUGUGGGGUGUAAUAAGCCCGGUUGAGGUAAUCUCAGGCACUAUUCCUUUUGUUUCUUGCAAUCUUAUCUUUUAUUCUUAAGCAUAGUGCGUAAUUGUUUCAACGACAUCAAGUUGUUAAGAUCUUAGUUUUGAUGUUAUGCUGAUUUUAUUUUGAAAAUUUAUCUUAUUAUAAUAAAGACUACAUGUAAGUGAUCUUUUGCCAAAAGAAAUGGGUGAAGAAAAAAAAAAAAUUGUAUUCCUUGGUAGAAGAUACAUAGGUAUUUCUUUCAUUAGUAUCAGCGCUAUUGGUACUUGAUGCCAUUAGUUAUCUUCUCUCUUUAUUGAGUUUAGAUCAAGCAUGAGAAUGAGAUAUAAGAAAUCUAAUGACAUUUGUGAUCAAGAAAUACACCCACGGUUAAGAAUUAUUGAAAUAUUUCAACACCGAAAAGGCACUUUGCCUAAUGAGUAUUCUAGGCUAUUUUGGAGUAGUGAUAUGAAUAAUAUAAUGAAGUAUUUUUCUAUUGCAUACUUUAGUGAUAUUUUGUGUCUUUAAGAGUAGGAUUUACCUGCAAAAUUUCAUUAGGAGAUCCAUUAGGAAUUGAGAGUUAUGGAAUCAACAAUGAAGGGUGACAAUUCUGACCAUGCAAAAUUCAGGAACUGUCCAUUGAGCUCCAUGAUUUUUCUCACCAACGAUAUAACUUUAUUUCUAACUAAAAUUGGACUGUGACUCAUAUAAUAGAGUCUAAUUUCAAACAAAAAAGGUUUCAUAAAGAAAGUCCUUGUGGUUUUAAAAAUAUGAUCCAUUUAUUGAAGGAUACGUAAGUGCUAUUUUCUGCAACGAAAAUUAUUUUCAUACUUGGCAGUUAAGAUUUAAUUUCUAUUCUCAACAUAAUGUUUUAUGGUUCAUACUAAGUUUUUAGACUUCCAUUUCGAGUCUAAUUUUUAAUAAAUAUUAUUUGAGAGAGAAAUAUAUAUAGGAAGAAAGGAAUAAAUAUUUUGGAUUGACGAGAGGUCAUUUUGAAUUUUCUGUAAUUUGGUAUGUCCUUCAUUGAAGACAUGAAUAGCUAUAUUUAUCAAGCCUACUUAGCAAAGUGAUGUAAAGCUUGUGAAAAUAUAUGUGUUACUAUUAUGUGUCUAAUUUCAAACAAAAUUGGUUUGAAAUUAAAGUCUAUGAUGGUAGAGAGAAAAGACAAUUUUACUAGAUAGUGUUCAUCCUGAAAUUCGGUAGUAUGAUUUAUUUUGUGACGUGAAUGUCCAUUAUUUAUAUAUCUGAAGGAAAGUAUUAUUUGGGAUUCAAACUAUGAUGUUAUGAUUUGGUUUUGAGUAUAGUUUUCAGCACAAAAGAUUUCAAGAAGAAAUUCUUUGAGAAUUGAGAGGAACAAAUUUUUAUUAAGAGGUGCUCAACCUGAUUUUCAACUGAAAAAAUUGCAUUGUGACGUAAAUGUCGUUAAAAUGAAUAUUCACUAAAUGGUAUGAUCUAGGAACUGAGUACUAUUUUCUAUUUUUUGAGUCUAUUUCAAAACUCAAAGGAUUCAAAGAUUAACUCUUUAUGAGUUGAGAGAUAUCAUAUUUUUAUCAUGGGAUGCUCAAGUUUUAUUCUGCAGUAAAUAAAAAAGAUGUGGCACGUUAAGACACAUCUUUGGAUUUCUAAUUAUGAAGACCUUUUUUUAGGGCUCUUUUAAAAAGGUUUUAUAGUGUGCUAUGAGUAUGGUUUAUUAUAAUAAAACUUCAGAGAAAAGUAAUACAAAGUUGACAAUAUAUGACACUCUAUGUGAAGAGUAUUCAAUCUGGGAAUAGUAGAAAGAAGAAGAAACACAAUACCUAUAAAAAAACAUUUUGGUUUCUUCGAAAUGAAGGGAUAUAUAGAGAGACGUGGUGGUAGCAUAGAAACACUAAAGGUCAGUGGGAGAAUCGAAAUUGUGAUAUUUGAAAUAAUGGCAUGGAGAAGAUAUUUUCUUUACGGUGUCAGAUAGAAGAAUCCAAGUGCCGAAGAGAUGGACACUUCAUGACAUGUGAGACCAAUGACCAAUAAAUUUUCCGUCAGUUGCGGGCACUUCCAAUAUUAUAAAAGUUUGUCAAACAAGUAAAAACGAUGAAUCAAGAAAACCCAAGUACCACACUACAUGGUUUUGACGUAUGGAAUCUAUCCCACAUUAUAUGGUAAGGUCAUAUAGGGAAAGGUCAUUUGGGGAAAAAGGAUUCAAUAACUUUGUUUAAUGUGCUUUGGUUAUAUUUUGGCUAAUUGUUUUAUGAAUAUGUAUGGAGUAUAUGGACUUUAAGUGAUAAGUGCUAACAAAUUUGAAAGUGACAGUUUUGAAUUGCUUGUGUUUUGUGCCUCCUUGUACUUGAGCAUGAACUACUUAAGAUAGUGAUAUUUGAUCAAGGGCUUUGAGCCCUAAGGAUGAUACACGUGAGAUGGGUGUGGUUAUUCAAAUAUGUAAGCACAAAGGAAAUGUUCUGAUGGUACUUGGUCUUGGUGACCAUCCUCUCAAUAAUGUUUAUAAUAUGAUGUGUUGCACAUGAUGAUGAUCUCUUGAUAAAUUCUCCAUAAUUGCCAAAAAAGAAGUAUUUUGUCAAGGCAUUAAUAAACAUUAUUUAGUCGUGCUUUAGUUUGGAUAAAAUUAUAAGAUGAUAUAUAUGAUUUGUUUUUGUAGCCAUGAACUUGACUUGGUAGGAAAUUAAAGGUGAAUGCGGUAAAAAAUGAUUUAUGAAGGCUAAGCAUGUAUUUUAUAAUUAAAUUGGAUGAUUUGAGAAAAGCCUAAGUCUAUGAAUAUGGUUUUGAGAAAACCACAUAGUCUUGCAAGGUCCAUUAAGUCUUUAUGAAAAUCAUUUUAAAAACUCGUACUAUUAUAUAACUAUUUAUUGUGAAUGCAGAUAUAUAUACCAAGUCAAUUUUUUUAAAAAAAAAAGAAAAACAUUAUGUCUUGGAGGUAUUUAUAAAGGCAGGAGAAAAACUAUCAUGCACUGUUUUUUAUUUAAAUAUCUAUAUGCCUUGACUCAUGUUUUUAAUUAUUUAGAAUCCUCGAUUACCUAAGACUUUGAACUAUAGGGAAUGUUGUAGGAAUGUCAUAAUGCUGGGCUUCCUUAAAACAUGUUGUGUUGAUUAGAUAACUUGGUUUGUAUGAAUUUACUACCAAGAUGUCUAGUGUGGUUGAACCUUUGUGGUUUAUGAAGGUUUUUGCAUUUUGUGAAACCAACGGGUAUUGAAUUACAUAUUGCAUGAGACUUGAUAUGCUACCUCAUAUAUAUGCAUUAGAAUGUUGAGAAUGGAUAUGUUCUAUGUGCAAUAUCUGAGUGGAAGCUGCACAGUCCCACAUUUUUUUAACUGUUUGGAUAUUCAGAUAUACAGAUGCAAGCUAUCUCUUUGAUCCAGACAAUGUGAAAUCCACAUCUAGAUAUGGGUUCAUGCUUGGAGGGGGUGCAGUUUCUUAGAAAUCAAAGAAAUAUGAUGUGACAAAAUUGUCUACCAUAAAGGCAGAGUACGUGGCGUGCUGUUUGGUGAUCGAGGAGGCCGUAUGGAUUAAGAAAUUUCUUAAUCGACUUGACUUUCACCUCGUGCGUUGUGAGGCAGUAAGAAUUUUCUACAACAGCACGGUGAUGAUAUGCGUGUCAAAGGAGCCACGAUUCCAUAAGAACUCAAAGCAUAUAAAACCAUGUUUUUAUCACUUGAGGAAUGAGGUGAGAUUUAGAAAGAACGAGAUCGAGAUAUACUAAAUAUUCCAGUGGGAGCACCUGCUAAUAUUUGACAUGCCAAAUGGAACAACAGACUAUAAUGUUGUUAACCCAUGGAACGUAAAUGUUUGGUGCUGGUUCUAUGGCUACAAAAGGGAGCAACUUAUUUGAAGAACUUUUUUGAACCCAUGAACAAACGACCCCAUGUGAUGAAGGUAUGUGAUGGUCUUUUGUGAUAACAGGUCCAUGAUUCGCGAUGCGAUGUGAAAAAUGAGCUACGACCAGAUUUGAGAUGAGAUCCUAGCAGCAAAGAGAAAAAUAUGUUGCCUCUAUAAAUCCUUUUCUGAAAGGAUUGAUGGCGAUAACCAUGAUUAAUAUAUUGAGAGAAUAAGUAAAAAUGCUUGAGAGAGAUUGUAAUUGGGAAAGAGAGAUGGGAAUAAGAGAAAGUGAGAAAGAAAAAAUGUAAGGCAUUCAAAUGCUAAGUGGGAGAUGUUGGGUUUAUGUGGCCUUUAAAGGCCUUAUGAGUACUUGUAAAAUGAAUUGACAUAGUGGAACAUGAACUUAGUUGGAGUGUGGUCCCUCGUGGACCAUACUAAGCAAACGAUAGUUUACUGAUAUCGAUCUGUGCUUAACAAUCUAGGGAAGUCGGUUGGGAAAAACCCAUGGUACCUGGGUAUGAAAAACAAACCGAUUAGGGUUUAUGAGUUAGCCCUUGAUGAGGUUGGAGAACAUGCCCGGAUGAGUGAGCCGAGGGACAGUGUGACCCUUGUAUGUGAUGGUGGCCUACAGAGACAUGGGCCAAAACCUCAUCCAUGUACCAUCACACGGCAGGCAUAUCGAUAUAUUGUUCGGGAAAGCCAGAAAUCUACCCUUUAAGGUGAAGCGUAUGCAUGUGGGAGAGAUACCCCAAUGCGCCAUAGAGCUGUAGUCGCAUAACGUCUUGGUGACCUUGACUUAUCUCUAGGGGAAGACCUGUAAUCCAUAAAUUAGGAUUGCGACCCCUUGGCUUAUCCCCCAGACUUUGGUGACCCGAUAGUGAGCCCCUGCUUGGACUGUGGGUUAUGAGAAACACUAGGUCGGUUCCAUAAGGCAAGUGUGGUUUGUAGUCCACAGUUGAAGGUGGAAUGCCUUAUGAUUGCAGAUCAAAUUCCUUAACCAUAUGGAUCCAUUUCCUAUCAAGUUAAUUUAAUUAUGUUUGUUUUAUGAUAGAAAUUAUUUUAGAAUUAUUAUUUGAAUUUUUAUGAGUCAUUUGAUAUUUUAUUUAUAAUUUUUGUUUGGACUUAUAAAAAUGAAGAAAGCGAUUUUACAAAAUUAUAAAAUUCAAAUAAUGAUUUAAAAGUUUUUUGAUAAUUUAAAUUUAUAUAAAAUAUCAUGUAGGGGCCUAUAGUGCACAUGGGCCCACCAUGAAUCAAGUGGGUGGGGCCCACAUGUGCCACACAUGGGUGGCAUGCCCCACCCAUUGGAGUCUUUCUUGGAGAUUAAGGUAUUUCAUGUUUUGGUAAUAUCAUGUUAUGACAUGUGGUCCAAUAAGAUAUGGAAUAUUUUGACCAUAUAUUGACCAAAUAUUGAAAGUGUAUAUUAACUUGAUAUAUCUUGGGAAUAUUUUGUGAAAGAUUAUGAAAUGCAUAAUAUUUUAAUUAGAUUUAAUUUAUCUCAUUUCUAUUGAUAGGAAAAUGGUUAAGGAAAGGGGGAUAAUAGUUCAUGCACAUUCCAUAAUGUUGAUGGCCCAUCUAUGGAAUUUAUGGCUCAGAGUCACCCUUGAUCGACGGUCUAUGUUCAAUCUCACAAGAAGAGGCAAGUCAAGGAAAACCCUAAGAAACCCUAAUCUUGUUCAAGCCUAUAAAAAAAAGAUUGUCUCUAUCCAAAAUCUCUACAUCUUAUCUUUCUAUCUCUCUCACUUAAGAAAGUUUUUCUCUCUCAUAUUUGAUCUCUCUCUGUCACCGACAUUGUGAAAGAACCUAAGAGUUUAUGUUAUGGAGUUAUUCUCUCACUUAUCUCUAAAAUAUAGAUUUAUGGCUAAGGGUUUUAGCAUCUCCUUCAAACUAGGUUACUACUAUGGUUUUAGUUUGUGAUCAAUAGGGUUCAUGUUCCAUUAGUGUGGCUAGAUCAAAAUUUGCUUUUUCGGUUCGAGAUUAAAGCUAGACCAUUGAUCUCGCGCCAUCGGAUGGUGGUGACUCAGUGUGGGGUGUAAUAAGCCCAGUUGAGUUAAUUUUCGGCACUCUUCUUAUUGUUUCUUGCAAUCUUAUAUUUUAUUCUCAAGCAUAGUGUAUAGUUAUUUCAAUGGCAUCAAGUUGUUAAGAUCUUAGUUUUAUUGUUAUGUUGAUUUUUUUAAAAAAAUUAUCUUAUUAUAAUAAAAACCACAUAUAAGUGAUCUUUUGCCAAAAGAAAAGGGUAAAGAAAAAAAAAAAAAUAUUAUUUAUCUGUAGAAGAUCACAUAGGUAUUUCUUUCAUUGGUAUCAGAGCUAUUGAUACUUGAUGCCAUUAGUUAUCUUUUCUCUUUAUUGAGUUUAGAUCAAGCUUGGAAAUGAGAUAUAAGAAAGCUACUGAUAUUUGUGGUCAAUAAAUAUACCCAUGGUUAAGAAUUAUUGAAAUAUUCCAACACCGAAAAGGUACUCUGCAUAAUGAGUAUUCUGAGCUAUUUUGGAUUAGUGAUAUGAAGAAUAUACUGAGGUAUUUUUCUAUUACAUACUUUGUGUCUUUUAGAGUAGGAUCUACCUGCGAAAUUUCAGUAGGAGAUCCUAUCGGAAUAGAGAGGUAUGGAAUCAACAAUAAAGGGUGUCAGUUCUGACCAUGCAAAAUUCAAGAACUGUCCAUUGAGUUCCGUGAUUUUUCUCACAAAUCAUAUGAUAUUAUUUCUACCCGAAAUUGGAAUGUGACUCAUAAAAUUGAGUCUAAUUUCAAACAAAAAAGCUUUCAUCUAGAAAGUUAUUGUGGAUAAAAAGAUAUAAUCAAUUUAUUGAAGGAUACGCAUUAGUUGUUUUCUGCAACGAAAAGUUAAGAAGUAAUUUCUAUUCUUAACAGAAUGUUUUAUGGUUCACACUACGUUUUUAGACUUCCAUUUUGAGUAUAAUUUUUAAUAAAAUUUAUUUGAGAGAGAAAUAUAUAUGGGAAGAGAGGAAUAAAUAUUUUGGAUUGAAGAAAGGUCAUCUUGAAUUUUCUGUAAUUUCGUAUGUCCUUCAUUGAGGACAUGAAUAGCUAUAUAUAUUAAGCCUACUUAACGGAGUGAUAUAAGGCUUGUGAAAAUAUAUGUGUUACUAUUAUGUGUGUAAUUUCAAACAAAAUUGGUUUGAAAGAAAAACUCCAAGAUGGUAGAGAGAAAAGACAAUUUUACUAGAUAGAGUUCAUCUUGGAAUUCUACAGCAUGAUUUAUUUUAUGACGUGAAGGAAAGUAUUAUUUGGGAUUCAAACUAUGAUAUUAUGAUUUGGUUUUGAGUCUAGUUUUCAUCACAAAAAAUUUCAAGAAGAAAUUCUUUGAGGAUUGAGAGGAACAAAUUUUUUAUUAAGAGGUGCUCAAUCUGAUUUUCAACUGAAAAAGUUACAUUGUGACGUAAAUGUCCCUAAAAUGAAUAUUCACUAAAUGGUAUGAUUUAGAGAUGGAAUUAAGCACUAUUUUAUAUUUUUUAAGUCUAUUUUAAUACUCAAAAGGAUUCGAAGAUUAACUCUUUAUGAGUUGAGAGGUAUCAUAUUUUUAUCAUGGGAUGCUUAAGUUCUAUUCUACAGUAAAUUAAAAAGAUGUGGCAUGUUAAGACACAUCUUUGGAUUUUUAAUUAUGAAGGCCUUUUUAAGGGCUCAUUUAAAAUGGUUUCAUAGUGUGUUAUGAGUAUGGUUUAUUGUAAUAACACUUCAGAGAUAGGUAAUACAAAGUUGACAAGAUAUGACACUCUAUGUGAAGUGUAUUCGAUCUGAGAAUAGUUGAAAGUAGAAGAAACACAAUACCUAUAAAAAAACAUAUUGGUUUCUUCGAAAUGAAGGGAUAAGUAGAGAGACUUGGUGGUAGCAUAGAAACACUAAUGAUCAGUGGAGAAUAUAAAUUGUGAUAUUUGAAAUAAUGGCAUGAAGAAGAUAUUAUCUUCACGGUAUAAGACAGAAGAAUCUAAGUGCCGAAGAGAUUGACACUUCGUGACAUGUGAAACCAAUGACCAAUAUAUUCUUCAUCAGUUGCGUGCACUUUAAAUAUCACAAAAGUUUGUCAAACAAGUAAAAAUGAUAAAUCAAUAAAGCCCAAGUACUACACUACACGGUUUUGAGGUAUAGAAUCUAUCCCACAUUAUAUAGUAAGGUCAUAUAGGGAAAGGUCAUUUAGGGAUAGUGGAUUCAAUAACUUUGUUUAAUGUGCUUUGGUUAUAUUUUUGCUAAUUGUUUUAUGAAUAUGUAUGGAGUGUAUGGAUAUUAAGUAAUAAGUGCUAACAAAUUUGAAAGUGUUAGUUUUGAAUACCUUGUGUUUUUGUGCCUUAUUAUGCUUGAGCAUGAACUACCUAAGGUAGUGAAACACAUGGAGAUGUGAUUUGAUCAAGGGCUUUGAGCCCUAAGGAUGAAAUACGAGAGAUGGGUGUGACUCAUUCAGAUAUGUAAGCACAGAGAGAAUGUUCUGAUGAAACUUGGUCUUGGUGACAAUCCUCUCAGUAACGUCUAUAAUAUAAUGUGUCGCAUAUGCUGAUGAUCUCUUGAUAAAUUCUCCAUAAUUACCAAAAAUAAAGUAUUUUCUCAAGGCUUUAAUAAACAUUAUUUGGUCGUGCUUUAUUUUGGAUAAAAUUAUAAGAUGGUAUAUAUGAUUUGUUUUUGUGGGCAUGAACUUGACUUCGUAGGAAAUUAAAGGUGAAUGCAGUAAAAUGAUUUAUGAAGGCUACGCAUGUAUUUUAUAAUUAAAUUGGAUAAUUUGAGAAAAGCCUAAGUCUAUGAAUAUGGUUUUGAAAAAACCACAUAGUCUUGCAAGGUCCAUUAAGUCUUUAUGAAAAUCAUUUUAAACUAUCAUACUAUUAUAUAACUAUUGCUUGUGAAUNNNNNNNNNNNNNNNNNNNNNNNNNNNNNNNNNNNNNNNNNNNNNNNNNNNNNNNNNNNNNNNNNNNNNNNNNNNNNNNNNNNNNNNNNNNNNNNNNNNNNNNNNNNNNNNNNNNNNNNNNNNNNNNNNNNNNNNNNNNNNNNNNNNNNNNNNNNNNNNNNNNNNNNNNNNNNNNNNNNNNNNNNNNNNNNNNNNNNNNNNNNNNNNNNNNNNNNNNNNNNNNNNNNNNNNNNNNNNNNNNNNNNNNNNNNNNNNNNNNNNNNNNNNNNNNNNNNNNNNNNNNNNNNNNNNNNNNNNNNNNNNNNNNNNNNNNNNNNNNNNNNNNNNNNNNNNNNNNNNNNNNNNNNNNNNNNNNNNNNNNNNNNNNNNNNNNNNNNNNNNNNNNNNNNNNNNNNNNNNNNNNNNNNNNNNNNNAUAUAUAUAUAUACCAAUCAAUUUUGUUUUUAUUAAAAAGAAAAACAUUAUGUCUUGAAAGUAUUUGUGAAAGAUUAUGGAAUGCAUAAUAUUUUAAUUAGAUUUAAUUUAUCUAAUUUCUAUUGAUAGGAAAAUAGUAAGGAAAAGGGGAUAAUGGUUCAUGCAUCUUCCGUAAUGAUGAUGGCCCAUCUAUGGAAUGGAUGGCUCAGAUCUCUCACCCCAUAAGUCACCCUUGAUCAACUGUUUAUGUUCAAUCUCACAAAAAGAGGGAAGCCAAGGAAAACCCUAAGAAACCAUAAUCUUGUUCAAGCCUAUAAACAAAAGGAUUGCCUCUACCCAAAAUCGUUACAACUUAUCUUUCUAUUCUCUCUCUUAAGAAAGUUUCUCUAUCUCAUGUUUGAUAUCUCUCUCUUCCACAUUGUGAAAGAACAUGAGGGUUUAUGUUAUGGAGUUCUUCUCUCACCUAUCUCUAAAAUAUUGAUUUAUGGCUAAGGGUUUUAGGGUUUAGCAAAAAAAUAGAAUUCAUCUCUUUCAAACUAGGUUGCUAGGAGAAUUCACCUAGGGUUUGAGCUUGUGAUCAAAUGGGUUCAUGUUCCAUUUGUGUGGCUUGGCUGAAAUUUACUUUCUCGAUUCGAGAUUGAAGUUAGACCAUUGAUCCCGAGCCAUUGGAUGGUGGUGACUCGGUGUGGGGUGUAGUAAGCCCGGUUGAUGUAAUAUCCGGCACUCUUCCUUUUGUUUUUUGCAAUCUUAUCUUCUAUUCUCAAGUAUAGUGCAUAGUUAUUUCAAUGGCAUCAUAUUGUUAAGAUCUUAAUUGUAUUGUUAUGUUGAUUUUAUUUUGAAAUUUACCUUAUUAUAAUAAAGACCACAUGUAAGUAAUCUUUUGCCAAAAGAAAGGGGUAAAAAAAAAAAAUGUAUUCCCCGGUUAAGUAUCAUAUACGUCUUUCUUUCAUAGGAUUACCUUGCUAGUUUUGGAAAGCAACGCUCACUGUCCAAAUAAAAGGAUGCAACACCUCCCACUAUGGAAGUUGCUUUGACGGUGCUUGCAAAAAAGGGACGGCUUGCAUCCCAUUGACCAUGCUUGUGAAAGAAGCAACAAGAUUGACAGCUUCAACUCGUACGAACCCACAAGAUAUGGACCAUGAUCAAGAGAGAUGAAGCAACCCCUGGUGAGCAAUGUAUCGUUAUUGAUAGAUCUUUUUGUUUUGAUACCAUGUAAUAAAAAAAAUAUGGACGAAGGAGAGAGAAAAGAAGAAUCAACGAGACAAAUAUGUGGUUUGGCAAUGGUACCUACAUCCACCGAGUGUAAAGUAUUAUCUCAUUCAUAACGGAUUACUCUGGUUUACAAGAGAUUUAUAGAGUUACAACCAUUGUUCGCAAAAUCACCCGAUCUAACCGUUAACCAUCCGGUUAGAUCGAAACCGGCCACUGAACGGUUCCGGUUGUAGGCGGCUAGGGUGAUCAACCAGUAUUUAAAAAAAAAACAAUUCAAAAAAUAUAUAUAAAUUCUCAAAAAUAAGGAAUUUGAUUUGCAAUGUUUUUUUAAAUAUUCUUUAUAUUAUGGUAAAGAUUAAAAAUUGUUUUGGUCAUUAAUACUGACUUUUAUAUUUUCCCAUCUGUUUUAGAAAAUUUUAAAAAUAGCCCUUGGAAAAUAUAAAAUGGGAUAAAAUCCAUUUUUUUUCAUUAAUUUUCAACUUCAUUUGAAUGUGUUUUCCUUUAAUCAUUAUUUAUAUGUUUUUCACAUAUUAGUAGAUUUUUUUUUUUUUUUUUUAAUACUUUUUUUAUUGCCCGGGACUUACCUGGUUAGAGCGGUUGAAUCGGCUAGUUUACCGGUUAGGCCGGUUAAACCGCUUCUAGGCCUAUGUCCGGUUAACCGUUCCGGUUCGAUUUUGCGAACACUAGUUACAACUCUUACUAUUUAGAAAACAAUCUCAUUACAAUUGUAAUCCCAUAAAAUACGAAAGUCAAUAAAAUCGAUAUAUGUGGUCAAUAUUUAAUAACCAUCAAUCCAAUAGGCGAAAAUAUAGAUUUAAUUGUUGGGUUGCUCUUCUUGGGUUGUGUUUGUGUAUUUAUAGAUGAAAACCUAGAGAGAGACUAUGAAGGACUGGUAUCACGGGUAACACAGGAGCUAGUAAGAGAGACACAGAAGAGAGAGAAAGUGGGCCAAAAAAUGGUGGUACCACUUUUACUUAUGAACGCGGUAGAAGAGACAUUAAAGAGAGCCAAAAAAUAGCGGUACCACUUUCACUUAUUGAUGCAAAUAAUUCAUCACCUAUUCAAAGAGAUAGAAAGAGUAAUAAUGGUGUGGGAGGCCGAGAGAGAUUAACGGUGACUGUCGUUUAGGAAACAGAUUCGCCUCAUAUUCCCCUCGGAGUGUAAGUUGUCCGGAAUUUGCGGAAGCAUCGAUUUAUUAAUUUGAAAAUAGCAAAGAAAGAUAGGGAUGAAGAGGUGGCGAUAUCCACUCGAUAAUAUUUCCCUAUUUCAUUGAAAUAAUUUUGAUAACAAACAAAUGUUAUGGUCUUUAGGGACCAUAACCCCUUUUUCUAACUAAAGUCACCUUUUUUUUUCUAUGCUCUCGCACGCGCAAAAAGGAAGCCUAUGCCCUAGUUAUUAGCCUUGCGGUUCGUUUUUUACCAUUGUAUUACAAAGUUGAGAUGGUCCACUACAAAGUAUAAGCAAUUUUUUAUGGAAGCUCUCUUUCGACUUGUCGAGUGAUGUAAAAAAGAAGAUGCUCCACGUAUAUAAGCAAUUUUUUAUGGAAGCUCUUUUUCGACUUGUCGAGUGAUGUAAAAAAGAAGAUGCUCCACGUAUAUUAUGAAGGCGGUUUUUGACCGCUUUUUAUUUAAGAGGUUUUAGAGAGAGAGUCAAGAUGAGGCAGUGAGAGAGAGAGGUGGUUAAGAGAGAGUGAAGAGAAGGUGGUGAAGAGAGAGAGUGAUAUAUUAGGAUUUUAACACUCCCCUUAAUUUUUUACUCUCAUUAUAUCUCCGAACGGGAUAAAUUUAUUGGUUGUAAUUGUCUUCGUGAAAAUGUCUCUAAGCUGGUCUUUUGUGUUGAUAAAUUUUUACUCGAUUUGUCUUUUUUUAGUAAGCUCCCUGAUGCAAUGAUGUCGUAUUUCUACAUGUUUCUAUCGACUAUAAAAUAUUGGAUUUUUCGUUAUUGCAAUGGAUGAUAUGUUGUCAAAGAAAAUAGUUGGUAUUAUGCUUUUGCUGCAAGUCUAAUAAAAUUCUUCUGAGCCACACAACUUCACAUGAUGCACUUGUUGUUGAGAUAUAUUUGGCUUCUGCAGAUGAUAGAGUCACAAUAUUUUGCUUUCUUGAUGACCACGAUAUCACUUUUGUACCUAGGAAGAAUAUACAGCCGGAAGUGCUUUUUCGAUAAUCAAUAGAACAUGCCCAACCACUAUUAGAAAAUCCAAACAGAUUAGUAUUAUUUUUAGAAAUAUAUUUGAUACCGUGUUUCUUUGUUCCCUAGAUAUAUCUUAAAAUCCUUUUUGCAGCUGCAAAAUGCAAUUUGCUUGGUUCAUUCAUGAAUCUAGAACAAAUACUGACUACAUGCACAAUAUCUGGCCUUGUAUUAGUGAGAUAAAUUAAAGAUCCCACCAAGCUUCGGUAACUUGAUGCAUCAACUUUUUUUGCAUCAUCAUAUUUUAAUAAUUUUUCAUUCACUGCCAUUGGAGUACUCACUGGUUUGAUUGACAUUUUGAAUCUUUUCAAGAGAUCUUUAACAUAUUUUUCUUGAGAGAUAAAUAUUUCUCGGUCUGACUGCUUUACUUGGAUUCCAAGCAAAUAUUUCAUAAUUCCCAAAUUAGACAUUUCAUAUUCUUUCAUCAUAGGUUUUUUAAAUUCUUCCAUCAUUCUUCUGUCUGUACUAGUAUAAAUCAAAUUAUCUACAUAAAGGCAUAUAAUUAGGAAGGAAUUUCCACUUCCCUUUUUAACAUAAAGUGAAAGUUCACUUGGGCUCCUUUCAAAUCCAUAUUUUCAAAAGCAUUUAUCAAUUUUACUAUUCCAGGCUCUUGGAGCUUGUUUUAAUCCAUAUAACACCUUUUUCAGUUUAUAAACUUUUUCUUCAUUUUAUUUUUCAAUAAAACCUAAUGGUUUUUCAACAUAAACUUCUUCUUCAAGUUCCCCUUUCAAAAAAGCAGAUUUUACAUCCAACAGAAAAACCAGAAUUUUUAAUUGGGCAGCCAUGGCCAAAACAAUACGAAUGGUUUUCAUUCUGGUAACAAGGGCAAAAGUUUAAUUAAAAUUUUUUCCAGGUUGUUGUGAAUAGCCCUUUGCCACCGAUCGAGCUUUAUGCUUUUGAAUAGAACCAUCUUCAUUAUAUUUGGUUUUAUAAAUCCAUUUCAAACCAAUUAGUUCUUUUCCUCUUGGGUGAUCUACUAAUUCUCAUGUAUUAUUUUUCUUUAUAUCAGAAAUUUCUUCAUUCAUAGCAUUUAAGCAAAUUUUUUCUUUUGUUGCUUCUUCAAAAUUUUGUGGUUCACUAGAAAAGAAAGCAACAUCACAUGAUUCAUAAAUAUCUGAAAGAUACCUUACUUUUCUGGGAGGCGUCUCUGAAUCUGAAGAACUUGAACUUGAACUUGAACUUCCUUGACUUGGACUUGAAGGGCUUGGAUCUAGACUUCUAUUUGAAUCAUCAUUUUCUAAAAAUUUUGUUUGUUGGCUAGAGUUUUCAUUCCAGUUCCAUUCACUUUUCUCAUAAAAAAUAACAUCUCUGGAAAUUACCAAUUUAUUUGUUUUUGGAUAGUAAAGACGAUAACCUUUUGAAACUUCACUGUAUCCAAUAAAGAUAUAUUUUUCACCUUUUUCAUCAAAUUUUUCUUUGUCUUGAGAGGUACUUUUUCCAUAAGCACUUAUGCCAUGCCUCAAAAGGUGUUUUAUUUUGGAGGGAUUUUGUAGGAGACCUGUUCAAAAUAUAAACAGCAGUAUAAAUAGCUUCAACCCAAAAUUUAGGAAGAUUUUUACCUAAAUUUUGACCAUUAUUCUAUUUCGACCAUUAUUCUAUUUCUCUUCUCUGCUAUUCCAUUUUGUUGUGGAGUAUAGGCAGCUGUCAACUCUCUUCUGAUUCCAUUCUUUUUACAAAACCUCUAAAAUUCUUUUGAUGUAAAUUCUCCUCCUCGAUCUGUUCUCAAAGCUUUUAAUGGAAAACCAUUGUACUUUUCUGUAUCAACUUUAAACUGAGCAAAAAUUGAAAAUGUUGCUGAUUUUUUAGCCAAGAAAUAUACCCACAUCAGUCUGCUGCAAUCAUCAACAAUUAAUAGAAAAUACCUUUUUUUAUUAAAGGUUUUUGUUUGAGUUGGUCCACAAAUAUCAGCAUGAACCAGUUCUAAUGGAGCUCUAAUUCUCCAAGAUGAUUCUGAAAAUGGUAAUCUGUGUAAUUUUCCAUAAAUACAACCUUCACAUUUAUUUUUUUCUUCAUUUAUUAGUGGUAGCUCAAUUACCAUACCUUUCUGAUUCAUCAAUUUCAAACUUUGAAAAUUUAAAUGUGCAAAUAUUAAAUGCCACAAGUAAGAUUUAUCAAUAUUUUCAGAACUCAAUGCAUAAUUUUCACAUACUGGGAUCACCAUAGGAAAAACCUUAUUUGGGGUCAUUUUUACCUUGGCUAUAAUCUGUUUAUUUUUCUUAUAAAAAAUCACACUUUCAUCUCUAUUGAAAUUCACUCAAUAUCAUUUUUUCAUCAAUUGACCAACAAUUGAAUGAUUUUGAGUCAAGCCAGGAACAUAAAAAGCACCAUAAAUUAAUUUAGGAUUACUUCCGUUUGGUUUUAGUGUAAUUACUCAUUUUCCUUCAACAUCUUGGAGCUUCCCAUCACCGAGCUGGACUUGAGAACUUACUUUUUCAUCCAUCUCAUCAAAACUGCUUCGAUUUUCUGUUAUAUGAUUGCUACAACCACUAUCCAGAUACCAAAUAUCAUGUAAAUUAUGUUGAACAUUCAUGCAUGAAUAAAACAUAUGGCAUGUAUUAUUAUUUUUCUCAGAAAAAUUUGCUUCACUUUUCAGUAUUUCAUUUUUCUGUUGAAACCAACAAUCUCUUUGAGAAUGAUUGGGGUUUCUAUAUUUUUUACAUUUAUAUCGGCAAUCCUUGGAUUCAUGCCCUGAUGCAGUAAGAUUCAUAUUUAUCUUUUCCAUAUGGAUUUUUGUGGCUAUUGAAAUUAAUUCUUCCUCUCCCUUGGCUUCUGGAAAAAUUUUGUCUUCACGAAUUUUUUGAUAAGUUUGAAAUACCCCCCUUUCUUUAUUUUCUUCAAUACUUUUCUUUGCUAAAAUUGUCAUUUUUUACUAAAAAGCUUGUUCUAAAUUAUGGCUUGAAAAUUUAUUCAUUCUUUGCUCAUGUGCUUCAAGAGACCUACUUAAUUCUGAUAAUGAAAAUUUAGAUAAAUCUUUUGACUCUUCUAUGGCAGCUACAACAUGGUCAAACUUUUCAAGUAAGCUUCUCAAGAUUUUAUGGUCUAUUUUUUUAUCAGGAAUAUCAUCUCCAUAACAUCUAAUAUGAUUUAUUAUUCCAGCAACUCUAGUAAAAAAGUUCUGAACUGUUUCAUUAUAUUUCAUCAUCAAAUUAUCAAAUUCUCUCCAUAAAUUUUGGAGUUUGAUAGAAAUCACUUUUUUGGUUUCCUGAAAUUCAUUUUUCAAAAUAUCCCAAGCUUCCUUUGAUUUUGAAGCAAUUUUUAUUCUAGAAAAGAUAUAUUUACUUACAGCUUGCUAAAUGAAGAGAAGGGUUUUCGUAUCUCUCUUUUUAUUUUCCUUCAUUUCAUUUUGCUUUGUCUAUAACCACGAAUCAAGUGUUGCAGCAUCUUCUGGUACCGUAUAACCUUCUUCAAUAAUAUCCCCCAAAUCUUGUGAGAUAAAGAGAGUCUCCAUUUGGAGACUCCAUAAGUCGUAAUCUUCUCCAUCUAAGAUGGGUAUUAAAUUUUGGGUAUAAUUCAUACCCGAGGUUGAUGCCAUUGUUAAAGUGGUCUUUUAGGAAGCACGAAUCUAGGCUCUGAUACCAAAUAUUGGGAAUUUACGGAAACGUCGAUAUAAUAAUUUGAAAAUAGCAAAUGUUGGGAAUUUGUGGAAGCGUCGAUAUAAUAAUUUGAAAAUAGCAAAGAAAAAUAGGGAUGAAGAGGUGGCAGUAUCAACUCAAUGAUAUUUCAUUAUUUCGUUGAAUUUAUUUUGAUAACAAACAAUUGUUAUGGUCUUUAGGGACCAUAACUCUUUUUUCUAACUAAACUCCCAUUUUUUUUCUACGCUCUCACACACGAAACAGGAAACCUAUGCCCUAUUUAUAAACCUUCAAGGGCGGUUCGUUUUUUAUCGUCGUAUUACAAAGUUGAGGUGGUCCUCCACAAAGUACACGCAGUUUUUUAUGCGUGCUCUCUAUUGAUUUGUCGAAUGAUGCAAAAAGAAAGAUGCUCGACGUAUAUUAUGAAAGAGGGUUUCCACCGUGUUUUAUUUAAGUGGUUUUAGAGAGAGAGAGAGUAAGGAAGAGGAAGUGAGAAGGAGAGAGAGUAAGGAUGAGGCAGUUAGAGGGAGAGAGAGAAAGCCGGUUAAGAGAAAGAGUGAAGAGAAGACGGUGAAGAGAGAGUGACAGAUUAUAAUUUUAACAGUUAUAGUACUGAGGGUUUUUUGGUGAGGCUGUGCAUGUGUUUCUCAUGGGAUAUUUUAGCUAUGUAAAUGAGUUGCGUCAUCCUGAAAACUGUCAGAUUUAGAAUGCAGUAAGAGGCAGCGCAGUUGGAAAAUAGGAAAAACUAUGUAUGUAUGCAAAAAUAUUUCUUCUUUUAGGGAAUGCUCCAAUUUUAUGCGGAGUUUUUUUUUUUUUUCUUUUAUUUCUAGUAUUUCUCUGCUGUUUUAAUUUUUUAUUUUAUUGGUUUUCUUGAACUAUAUGGCUAUUUUUAAGCUUAGAGGUCAAUUAGGGAUCAGAUAUUUGAAACAUUAAGUUCCCUUAAACUUGUAGUGUUCAAUAUUUUAUGCUAUAUAAUUGGGCUGCUUGGCUCUUUCUCCAUUCUUCUUUUUCUGUUCUCUAUUUUUAUCUUUGUAAUAUCAAUGCUUUUUAUGCUCUAUUUCAUUCUUCCUGCUCGUCAAAGAUAAAAUAAAUGACCGCGUAUCAAUCCAACAUCUGAAACAUAUCCAACUGGUUACUUUAAAAAUAGAUUGAGAUCACAAAUAUUGGACUGUGUUAUAAAUGAAAAAAGCACAAAAAAACAAAACAGGGUGGCCUUUUGGGUGAUCCAAACAUUGGACUGACCCCUGAAUUGACCCUUAUGCUUUGGGACAACACUACAAUUUAAGAAAAUAAAAACCACAUACAAUAUUUGUAAGAUCUAACCAAAAAAAUAGAAAAAGAUAAAAUCAAAUCAACAAAUUAGGGCCUCCACACACACACACAGACACACACAUACACACACACACACACACACACAUAUAUAUAUAUAUAUAUAUAUAUAUAUAUAUAUAGUGGUNNNNNNNNNNNNNNNNNNNNCCAAAAGAAAAUAAUAAUUUGGUCACAAAGAGGAGGAAGUGGUGCAUGGGGAUGCCCAAUUAAUGGUACUGAACACUAUGACGCAAUUUGGUGGAGACUUUUGGGGCAUUUGCAUGAGUAUGGUACAAGGAUAGCUGACUCUUGAGUUUUUCCCAUGCCACUUUACGCUGUGAAAACAUUUCUAAAGAAAAUUACGUUUUUGGGGCAGUGAUUUCAUACAACGGUUGUAUAGUAAUAUAAGACAAUAAUCUUUAAAAACCAUGUUAGGGCCAUUUGUUUGAUGGAAAUUAUAAAAUAUACACUUUUUUCAUUCUAAUAAACAAUCACAAAACAUAAAAAUUUGAAAAUACAACUUAGAAAAUAUUUUUUUAGCCCAAUUAACAUAGGCCAUCUAUUUUGAUAAGAUACUUAGAUCUAGACUUUAGAAGGAUUUUUCUUUUCCAAUUCAUUUAGAUGGCUUUAUUAUCAUUAGAUGAAGAAUAUUAAAAAAUGAAAAAAUAAUUUUGAGUUUGUAAAGGCUAAGAUCUUGAAAUUCACCAAUAAAUGGUCUACAUUCGUUGUUGGAGGGAACCUAUUUUGACCAUAUCUAGGGUACAAAUUGAAUUUUUUUUCUUGGGUUUGAUUAUUGGGAUGAAGAAAGUAUGUGCAAAUGUUUUGGUUAUGCAAAUACCUCUAUCAUAGUUUUUUAGAAGUGCGGUUGCAUUAUAUAAGGAUAAAACCAUUGCAUUAGAUCAUACGGGGUGAUACCUAUGGAAUUUUUUUUUGAGCUCAUAUACUAUACUUUUAAGGGAGUACACUGUGUAUUUACUCCCUCAUCCAAUACAACUAUAUAGGAGAAUGAUUUUCACAUAAAAUUUUGGUUCUUUUUAGCCAACAUGAAGCAAAUUUAUCCCAGUGAUCUAUUUAGUUAAUUACAUGAGAAAUUAAUGUGGGAACUGGGUUUAAUUUAUCGAUCACCUUCUGGACUAUAUUUUUUUAAGCUUUUGGGCAAGUUUUUUUUUCUGUUUUUUUAAUUCCUGUUUUAUCUUCAGUGUGAUAUGUUUUAUUUCUAUAUUUUUUAAAUCUUGGCAUUUUGGAGCGGCCCAUGUAUAACAUUUUGGAUUACCCUGCAAGCUAAUCUGUUCUUUUGCACGGAUACCCUAAUAUUGGAGAUAUUAAAAAACAAAGUUGCCUUUUAUUUAGUAAGUUAAAAGAGGUUUGAUAUUUCCAACAUCAAACCAGUAAUACACUUUAAAGGGGAAGAAAAAAAAAGGAGUCAGGAGUGGUUCGAUGUAUAGAACAUUGGAUUGCCGUACGAGCUAAUCUAAGAUUUUGUUUUGGGUGGCCUAAUGUUAGCGUUUUCACGCCAGCAAAAUUUUUUUUGCCUCAAUAAAUUAAACGAGGUCCAUUGUUUUCAAUGUUAGACCAGUAAUAUUAUGUAUAUAUAUAUAUAAAGCCAUGCAUGGUCAAGUCGAAUGUAUAGAACAUCGGGCUGCCCCUUACAAAGGAAUAUGUUAGAAGUGGGUUGAUCCAAUUUCUUAUCCAUCCGCCCUCGAAAAGCAAAAAAAUAAAACAAAUAAAAAAAAUUAGUUCGAUGUUGACAACAUUAGAUUGAGAUCAAAACAUAGAAAAAAAAAAAAAUUAAGAAGGACGUUAUCAUAAAAUUUCUCAAAAUAUGGACCUAUAUAACGGUCAAAGGGAAGCAUUAUUUCAUAUAUCUAAAUUCUAAAACAAUGGAGUACACAAUACCGUGUUUUGACAACAAUAUUUGCUUAAGUGGGACUCAAAAUGGACGGCAUCCUUAUUUCACGACAUCAACGCACCGAGGCCCAAAGCGGGAUACGGUGCCAUUUGAUGCGAACUAUAUAACGAGACCAAUAACGGAGUACAGUACGCACUUAUAGCUAAAACAGCACCAUUGCACAAAGACACAGAUCGAUGUCGGCUUAUUCAGAUAGAGCGAGAGAGAGACUACUCAUUGACAAGAGGAAGAAGAGGUUUAAAGGAAAUGAUUUUCGUGGUAAUUUCUGUCACCGACACCUCAGCCUUGUAAACUCUACUAUAGCCGAUU